CCUACGGGUGGCAGCAGUGAGGAAUAUUGGUCAAUGGGCGGAAGCCUGAACCAGCCAAGUAGCGUGCAGGAUGACGGCCCUACGGGUUGUAAACUGCUUUUAUACGGGAAUAACGCGCCUUACGUGUAGGGCUUUGCAUGUACCGUAUGAAUCAGGACCGGCUAAUUCCGUGCCAGCAGCCGCGGUAAUCCGGAAGGUCCGGGCGUUAUCCGGAUGUAUUGGGUUUUAAGGGCGCGUAGGACGCAUGUCAAGCGUGCUGUGAAAUGUCCGGGCUCAACCCGGGCCUUGCAGCGCGAACUGGCGUGCUUGAGGCCGCGGAAAGCAGGCGGAAUUCGGCGUGUAGCGGUGAAAUGCUUAGAUAUGACGAAGAACCCCGAUUGCGAAGGCAGCUUGCUGGAGCGGAACUGACGCUGAUGCUCGAAAGCGCGGGUAUCGAACAGGAUUAGAUACCCCUGGUAGUC
rnacentral:rRNA from 1 species